rnacentral:misc_RNA from 1 species
AGCCCAAAUCAUACGAACAUACGAGCCGAGAAAGCGACACUGGCGCUCUCCACUGCCAGCGUGCGGGCGUGACGCGCAUCUCUUUCCUGGCACCUUUUCCGCCUGCGACUCUCUGCGUGUCUGUGCGCCCGUGCCAGGUCGACUCCUCAUCACGAUGCAGCCCCUGCGCAGUGGAGCACUCGCUUCGCUUCCCCUACGCCCCUCACUCACAAGCACCGUGGCGGCAGAGCAGCUGGACGCGCGACUGCGGCCAGGGAACGAACCAACAUCCCAGAUUUUUCUACUGCGAGACAGAAAACGUGUCACAGCGGCUGCUUCCUCUGGUGAUGCAGGCGAUGACGUUGACAGUGACGAAGCCCUCAUGUCUGCCAGCGUCAGCAGCUUCCGCUGCUCAGCUGCGCCCUCGGCGCACAGCGUUGCUGAAGUGGGCACUCACCCGGCCAUGUCGGCCGAAGGGUCUGCUCCCUUGCCCUCCGCUGCUCAACCGAAGGAGCCUUUCCUUCUCGAUCACCCGCCGCCGCAGCGCCACAGACGGCAAUGGACACCGCGUCGCGGAUCACUGUGCUCCGGCACACCCGUAGGUGGCAACGGUGGCGCGGUGGAGAGUGCUGUGACAACGGUGCGGGACUGGGUGCGUUCUGCCGGGUGCAGUCCGUCAAAGGAGCCUCGCAGCGCGUCCAUCUCGCGGAGAGACAGCCUCGCCUCCUCUUUCGCCUCCGCGCUGGUGCCACGAGAUGGGCGAUGGGAGCUGCCGCGUCAGUGGACCACCGGCGCAGACGACGAUGACGGCGAAGAGCGCGAGAGGCGCGCGGGGCUUGGUGCAAGGGCGGCAAAGGCUUGUAGCAGCAGCAGCGGCGGGAGCGCUGUGAACAGCGGGCGUGGCUGGGAUGGUGUCGACAGCUGGAGUAGCAGCGAGGCGCAGCUUCAGCGGCCAGAGGGGUUCGAGCUGGCUUGCGCGCCGACAAGCCAUCAGCGGACGCCGUCGUGGCGUCAGCUCCACUCUCACCCAGCGACAACUGCGACCAUCACCUCGUCGAACAGCUCUGUUCCCGCCUCUCGUGGCAACGGCGACGGUGCCGCUGCUCCCGCCUGUAGCAGUGCGUACACGUUCUCUGCACACAGCAGAAGCGGGCACAGCACAGGUACGUCCAGUCUCGCUGGUGGGAGCAGCGCCAGCGCCGCCACUGACUGCGGCACAGCAGCUACUCUACUGUCCGGGUGGGGGCCGAAUCGCCGCGGCGGUGACGGUGACGACGGGAGCUACGGAGAUCAACCGUCUCUGUCAGGGGUCUCGUCGCCGUCCCUCGUCACACCACCGCCGAGUCGUCGCACGCCCGCUCCUGUCGCCUCCACUUUGCAAGCCAACACUCGCAUGCUUUCGCCGUCGCCUGUCUUGACUGCGCGCGAGCUUGCCCAGCUGGGAGAGUGGCGCAGCGUUGCAGAGGCUCAACGAAGCGACCUGGUUUCCACAGCGGCUCCCACCGUUCUUUCGCCGUUGCUGCAGCGACCCGCACCUGAGCGGCCUGACAGCGGCGGACCGGCGAGCUGGUGCUUAGAAAGCCUAUCUUGCGCGUCCUUCAGCACUUCGCUGCCAAACGGACUGUGGAGUGGCCGCGAUAGCACCGCGCAGACACCGCUGAACUGGGAGCGGGGUGGCGCUGCGGUGGGGACUGGUGGAGCCCACGGCAGUUCCCGCGCAUCUCCUGCAUGCUGGAGCACCAGUGAGCCAGCCGCGGGCGGCGAUAGUGCCCUGCUUGAGUGCCGCAGUGGAGGAUGGUGCAGCCGCAUAUCUUCCCCGAUGUCGGUCUCACUCGCCGACAUGAACGGGCCGGCCUGUGCGCAACAGGGAAUGCCGCACUGCAGCCCUCUCACUUCCCCGCCGACGUCUCCUUCCUUUGCGCACCGGGUGCGCGGAACAGCCCGCGGAUGCGGAAGUGACGGUGAUGACAGCACGAUGGAGGACAUCGAGAUGCGACACACGAAACGCAAAUGCGUCGAGAGCCCACGCGGGUCCCCAUCGGCGACGCCUCUGAGCGGGUCCUUUGCACUCUCCCUCGCCGAUGCGCUGGCGGCGGCACCUACGUGCAUGACGACGUCGCUCGAGACGCACUUGUGGCAGCAACAGCAACGCCGCCGGAGGACAGUGUCACCGUCUGUGGCCCGCCCAGACGAGGAGCCGCUGCCUUGUGAUGGCGCGGACACGUAUGCCUCGACACACUACCGCGACCGUAGCACCUUCUCUCCUCCCUCACCCAUUCGAACCACGGCUCCAUCCAUGGUCCCGGUGCAUCCUCCGCCGUCGCUGGAUAUUUCCAUCUCGUCGUCCCUGUUGGCCACCGGUGCGCAAGGGCGGCCGCACGACAUGAGCGGCGGCUCCCUACACAUCACUGUCGAUGCUGCCGCGGCCGUCUUGGAGACUGCAGAUAGCAUCACGGGAGUCGUCGUGGAGGUGGAUGCUCAACAUGCCGCGUCGCUCUCCAGCUGCGGCUCCGGCGGCAGCGGCGAGGAGCCUGAGGUGGACACGUUCUCGCUGGAGCGGGCGCAGGCAGCGAUGGAGGACGCAGACGCCGAGGCUGCGAGCGCGCUGCGUGCACGCCAGCAUCGCCUCUACCUCCUCUCCACCUCCCAGUUCGCCCAGGACGUGGAGCGGCACGGCGGCCACGUCGACCCGAUGCAGCUUGAGAUGGAGGCGGAGGCGGAAAGCGAGGAGGCCGAGCAGGAGUGGAGGCGGGAGGGUUGUGCUAGGCGGCCUGCAACGUCGGAGGGGUUUCCAGGGAAUUCAUGCGGUAUCUCUGCAGGGCUGCGAGGUGGCAGAGCGACACGGUUGCGAUGGGAGAAAGAUGACGGCCCCCGCUCACGACGGAACGGAAUCGCAGCGAACGAGGAAGGCGAGGUGUCGUCGGCCCCGACAGCUGCGUGCAUUCCUCACCUCCACAGUCCGCACCCUCCUCGUCCCUCCUUCUCGACUGUGCCUUGCGCCACCCCGUCUGCGCACCCGGCGGCUCCCGUGGCGUCGGGUCGGGUGGGCAGCCAGGAAAGCUUUGCCACACCGUUGCGCCGCGGUGCGUGCGUCUCGGCCACAGCUGCCCAUGUGCGAUGGGGCGAGCCGGAGGAGAGCGAGGAUGGCCACUCACCGGGCUCCGUAGCCACGACGACGGGCUCGCGGUCGCGCCGGGACAUGUCGCCACCAGUUCGGGAGCGCAGCAUGGCCCCGGCAGAGCUUCAGAAAGAGCGUGAGGGCUACUAGAAGAUGGAGCACCGCUGUCGUGUAGGCCAAAGCUGGGCGUGUAUGCCCCUUGAGGCUGUGCGGAGUAACACAGAGAAGGCGCCCCCCUUCUCGGCUCUCUUGAUGGUAUCUGCUUUCUUCUCUGAUCGUUGAGCGGCCCCUGCUUGCUCUCUGCGUUCUCUCUGUUGUGGUGGCAGCGGUAAUAGUGAGGCUUCGCUCCCGGUUUUGACUCUCCCUGCGCGCGUGUGCGUCUCCCGACCGCCACUUCCUGCCUUUGCCCACCCACCGCGAGUGCCCGAAAAGGGCACCGCCACGCAUCUCGCCUUUGCUCUCCCUUCCCCUUAUCCUAGUCGAUCUGUGCACCGCCUCCCUCCUCCUCCUCGAUAUCCACGGUGACUGUCGCUUCUACGACGGCUGCCGCUACAAAGGCCUGAUCGUACCACUUGUACUUGCCCAUUUUUCUCUCGUUUCGUGGUUGUCGACUCCUUCACGCGCCCUCACGAUCCUUGUACACUCCCUUCUGUUGCCUUCCCUUCCUCGCUGUCUCUUUCAAACGCACAAGAAAUGACCUCUCGUCAGCCUUUACGCACCGCAGCUCCUGCCUCCUCCUCUCCCUUCGCCACCACCGUUGGAUGCGGUCGGUGGAGAGCGACGUGCUUCCCCGACGUCACUGAUUGAGUCACGUACACACGCUGCUCGAGCGACUUGGCCAAGGCAGAAGUCGUCGGCCUCUGUCAAUGGUAUAGAAGCGGUGAGGCCCCCGAGCACACGUGCCUGUCUCCCUCUUUCUCUCUCUGUGAGCGUGUGUCUGUCCCUUCGUCUUUCAGGUGUGCACCCCCUUCCUUUCCUUCCUCCCGUAUGCGCUUCUCUG